AUAUUUCCACUGAGUAUUCUCUCAUCAGUAAGAAAUGUCUGUUCUUGUCAGCUUAGCAUCUGCCACGUCCUGCAACACAUGGCUAGAAUAUGAAACUCAUAUUUGGCUCAUGACGGAGCGCUAAGAGCAUGCUCUACCUCUGUCAAAGGGUACCUCCUCACAUUCUAAAUCUUCUAAAGUAAACAAGUGUCCUAACACAC